rnacentral:rRNA from 1 species
CCUACGGGAGGCAGCAGUGAGGAAUUUUCCGCAAUGGGCGAAAGCCUGACGGAGCAAUACCGCGUGAGGGAUGAAGGAUUUUGGUCUGUAAACCUCUUUUCUCAAGAAAGAAGUUCUGACGGUACUUGAGGAAUAAGCAUCGGCUAACUCCGUGCCAGCAGCCGCGGUAAUACGGGGGAUGCAAGCGUUAUCCGGAAUGAUUGGGCGUAAAGCGCCUGUAGGUUGUUUAUUAAGUCCGUUGUUAAAGCCUAGGGCUCAACCCUAGAAAAGCAAUGGAAACUAGUAGACUAGAGUAUGGCAAGGGUAGAGGGAAUUUCUAGUGUAGCGGUGAAAUGCGUAGAUAUUAGAAAGAACACCGGUGGCGAAAGCGCUCUACUGGACCAUUACUGACACUCAGAGGCGAAAGCUAGGGUAGCAAAAGGGAUUAGAUACCCCUGUAGUCCUAGCCGUAAACGAUGGAUACUAGAUGUUGUGCAUUAUGUACAGUAUCGUAGCUAACGCGUUAAGUACCCCGCCUGGGGAGUACGCUCGCAAGGGUGAAACUCAAAGGAAUUGACGG